rnacentral:rRNA from 1 species
GAUGAACGCUGGCGGCGUGCCUAAUACAUGCAAGUCGAGCGAACAGACGAGGAGCUUGCUCCUCUGACGUUAGCGGCGGACGGGUGAGUAACACGUGGAUAACCUACCUAUAAGACUGGGAUAACUUCGGGAAACCGGAGCUAAUACCGGAUAAUAUAUUGAACCGCAUGGUUCAAUAGUGAAAGACGGUUUUGCUGUCACUUAUAGAUGGAUCCGCGCCGCAUUAGCUAGUUGGUAAGGUAACGGCUUACCAAGGCAACGAUGCGUAGCCGACCUGUGAGGGUGAUCGGCCACACUGGAACGGAGACACGGUCCAGACUCCUACGGGAGGCAGCAGUAGGGAAUCUUCCGCAAUGGGCGAAAGCCUGACGGAGCAGCGCCGCGUGAGUGAUGAAGGUCUUCGGAUCGUAAAACUCUGUUAUUAGGGAAGAACAAAUGUGUAAGUAACUAUGCACGUCUUGACGGUACCUAAUCAGAAAGCCACGGCUAACUACGUG